ACUUUUUGCACUUUGUCAGAAAUGCGGAUCCCGGUGACUAAAACGAGUAUAGCUAACUGAAUACGUCAUGGAUACCUUAGGGGCAGUAACUGGUGGUGGCCGAUGAAACCUGUGAGAGUUUACAGUUGUUGCAUCGCACCGCGGUGGAGCGUGGGGAUGUCGAAAAGCAGCCAAAUGUUGGGCAGAUCGGCUUCUGCCGGAGUGCCUCGCAGGCGCAUGCGUCAGCGACUUACGGCGUUGGCCGAAAGUGUGGUUUUGCUACUGGUGCUAGCUUCACUGAACUGAACCAGCUGGCUGAAGAAAAUGAAAACAGCGACCGGCGACGCGACCGCUCAUUUUUAGAGUGUGACUCAACUUUCCCGUCAUUUUUCACGAGCCUCCGCACGAGAGCGAUUUAAUUGUGUGACGACUGUGCACAUGAGUGUUGGACCAGAAGUUAUGUUCCUGCCAGCAAAGAGUAUCGGACAUAAGAGAAGGCUGCUGCAAUGCACUCGUCCUUGAUCUUACUAACUGUCGGCUGACUGCAGUGGAUGGGCGCCCCAGUGGUUUUUGCAAUUGAUUUGCCAAAAAUUGAAUUUCUCGGAUGAAAGAAAGUCGGAAAGAGCACUCGUCCCAAAAUUUCGAGCCGCUCCGUGCCAGGCGGCGCUCCACUCAUCCUCGGCAAGUCGACUGUGUCUCACAUUGGGUAAUUAACUAACUCACUCCCUGCCUCACCCCUUCCAACUCUGCUCCCCAACCGCCGUGCCAAGCAUUAUUAAACUAAUCAAAAUUUCUUUGACCAAAAAUCCCUUGAUGCUCCCAUCGUAUUUUACCACUGCUUUCAAUUUUGGCACGUAAAGUCGGUGUUUCUUUUUUUUAACUGUGAAUUUCUUUUUCCAGGCUGACUGCAGUGGAUGGGCGCCCCAGUGGUUUUUGCAAUUGAUUUGCCAAAAAUUGAAUUUCUCGGAUGAAAGAAAGUCGGAAAGAGCACUCGUCCCAAAAUUUCGAGCCGCUCUGUGCCAGGCGGCGCUCCACUCAUCCUCGGCAAGUCGACUGUGUCUCACAUUGGGUAAUUAAC